UACGAAGGGGGCUAGCGUUGCUCGGAAUCACUGGGCGUAAAGCGCACGUAGGCGGCUUACUAAGUCAGGGGUGAAAUCCUGGAGCUCAACUCCAGAACUGCCUUUGAUACUGGUGAGCUUGAGUCCGGAAGAGGUGAGUGGAACUGCGAGUGUAGAGGUGAAAUUCGUAGAUAUUCGCAAGAACACCAGUGGCGAAGGCGACUCACUGGACAACUGUUGACGCUGAGGUGCGAAAGCGUGGGGAGCAAACAGG
rnacentral:rRNA from 1 species